rnacentral:rRNA from 1 species
GAUGAACGCUGGCGGCGUGCCUAAUACAUGCAAGUCGAGCGAACAGACGAGGAGCUUGCUCCUCUGACGUUAGCGGCGGACGGGUGAGUAACACGUGGAUAACCUACCUAUAAGACUGGGAUAACUUCGGGAAACCGGAGCUAAUACCGGAUAAUAUAUUGAACCGCAUGGUUCAAUAGUGAAAGACGGUUUUGCUGUCACUUAUAGAUGGAUCCGCGCCGCAUUAGCUAGUUGGUAAGGUAACGGCUUACCAAGGCGACGAUGCGUAGCCGACCUGAGAGAGUGAUCGGCCACCCUGGAACUUAGACACGGUCCGGACUCCUACGGGAGGCAGCAGUAGGGAAUCUUCCGCAAUGGGCGAAAGCCUGACGGAGCAACGCCGCGUGAGUGAUGAAGGUCUUCGGAUCGUAAAACUCUGUUAUUAGGGAAGAACAAAUGUGUAAGUAACUAUGCACGUCUUGACGGUACCUAAUCAGAAAGCCACGGCUAACUACGUG